AAAACUGGCUGGAACCGGCAGAGGGUGACAAUCCUUUAAAGUCAGCUCUCCCAAAUUUCUGUGGCGCCUGGUCCAAGAGAGGAAGGUUGGCUGGGAGUUGAGUCUCUAGGCGAGGCUCGAGGCUGAGCUCAACUGGACAGCCCAAGACAAAGGUUAAGUCUGGAUCUUCUCCCUGUGUCUGCGUGGAACAGCCAUCUGGCCAGGGCAUAAUCAUCUCAUGGCAAUGGCGAAGGAACAAGAGAAGAAACCCUACCAUAGUUUUACCUGUGUGAGUUCUACUUCUGGUCCACGCUCUCAAAAGUGGGACAAAAAUGCAUGACACAGUGGUUUUGAAGAUACUGGACAUCAGUCAGUGAAGGACAGUGAAUCCCAAGAGAAGGGAAACAACAAGAGAGACUCUUCCCUGCAACAUCCCGGAGAUGAAGCCGAAGUGUCAGCUUCAAUAUUAGAAGUUAAUUCUACAUUUCCUUCUGCGGAUCACCAAUGCCAAGGUUCAGCGUGCCUGAAUGUUCUGUGGUUGAGUAGAUGUCAGUGGUCUUUAAGAGAUUACCUCAACUGCAAAAGCCUCUCAGUCCAAGACCAGAAAGAUUUCAAAAGAAAAGGAAAAAAAUACGUCUAACUGCUUUAUAAUUUAGCUUUCAAGAACUUAAAAUUACUGAAAGCCACAUUUUCAUAUCUAAAUGGUGCCAGGUUUCAGGCAUGGGAGAUGUCCUCUUCUUGCUCUGCAGACAAUGUGUCAUCAACCCAGUAUUUACUGAGCACGUGAGUCAUGCGGAGCGAGGUGCCAAGGCAGCUGGAGAAGGUAACGAGGAGCUGGUGCUCUGCCCUCAGGGGUCCUACAGUUUAAUUGGGAGCCCAUUGUUCUGCGUAUUGUUGUUAUGGUUAUUUCAGCUCCUCGUGCACAUGCAGUUGUUUGAUGUACAAUCCAAUAACAAGAGAAUGUCUUGUUUCGACUCAUUCGGUUUUGGAGAAUAACUCCCAUCUCGACCUUUGGGGCUUCCUGUUUGCAUAACAAAUUUUGAUCUGAAAUCGGCAAUGUGGGUUAAUUUCAGAAGGCAGGGGGCCAGGGACUUGUUUGUAGAGGAGGACGUGAGUGAGGCCAAAAUCAGGGAGGGCAGGGGCGAAUUGGGUCUGAG